GCAGAAGGAGAGAGAGAUAAUCUUAAGCAGGCCCCGUGUUCAGCACAGAGCCUGACUUGGGGCUCCAUCCCAUGACCCUGGGAUCAUGACCUGAGCCAAAAUCAAGAGUCAGAUGCUCCACUAACUGAACCAUCUAGAUGCCCCCUGACACCAAUUCUGAUGGGGGUUUUCCCACAGUGAUGAAGUGUGAGAAACGAAGUUUUGGGGUAACGGGGGGUUCAUGGGGUCCAGAGCUGAUGGCCAUGAAAGAACUCUUGAAGUCAUCUUUGGUGCAAAAAGAUGAUUUUAUUAAAGCAUGGGGACAGGAUCUAUGGGCAGGAAGAGCUGCACUAUGGUCAUGACAGGUAACUCAUUAUAUACCCUCGGGUUGGGAGGGGGUCAGGGAUAGAGUAAGUCUCUAAGAAAUUUUGGAAGCAAAGUUUUCAGGACUGUGAGAGGCUAGCUGUUGCUAGGGAAACACCAUUUAUUACCAUUUUAAAAAACCUCAAUCAUGAGAUCUUUUAGAUGUAUAUCAGGGUCUAUAAGCUUGGAGUAUGAUUGCCAACACAUAUCUUGGGGCAGUUGAGAUAAAGGAAGUUGACUUCAGGAUCCACCAGGUUGGGAUAAUGUUAAGCUAAGGUUAUCUUUUGCCCCCAGAAAAAUGUCAUCUUUGAGGUAGCUGAACUCGUUAGAGGGAGGUCAUCUGCCAGUCUCAAGGACUUGUCAAUGGGCUCUAGGCAGUAAGGGAAUUUAAUUUUUCAUUUGCCUUAGUUUCCCACAUUACCAUGGCAAACACUUAAACGCCUUUCCUUUGUUCUUGGGUAGCCAGGAUUGUCUGAGGAAUAUCACACAUAUUCUACCUGUGGGGCAGAGAAGUGUGCCAGCCUGUAUUUUGCCCUCAGCUUGCCCCAAGCUCCCUCAUCAACACUACCAAGCAGUUCUGGAACAGCAGCUGAGUGUCUUUCAGUUUAACUCAAUUCUGACACCAUCUACCCAGAGAUAGUGUCAGAUUCCAUGACUAAAGGCUCAAUCCUACAAGACUGUCCUCCACUUUAGAUAACAAUUUUAGGUCCAGGUUUUUACCUCUGCUUCUAACCAACUGGCUUUAGAUCUCAGGUUGCAAUGACUCCCCUCAAUUCAUUUGCUAGAGCAGCUCACAGAACCCAGAAAACCAGUUUACUCACUAGAUUAUUGGUUUAUACAACUGAGGAACAGCCCUAUGGAAGAGAUGCAUAAAGCAAGUCACAAAAGCUUCCAUGCCCUCUCUGAGUACUUCAGUCUCCCCAAAUUUCCAGGUGUUCACCAACCUGAAAGCUCUCUGAACCUUGUCCUUUUGGGUUUUUAUGGUGGUCUCAUAACAUAGACACAAUUGAAUAAAUCAUUGGCCGUCCGUUAUCGAAUUUAAUCUGCAGCCCCUUUUCCCUCCCCAGAGAUAAGAGUUGGGACUGGAAGUUCCAGUCCUCUAAUCACAUGGUUGGCUUGCCUGGCAACCAUCCCCAUCCUUGGGUUUUAUAGGGGCUUCCCAAAAGCUGCCUAAUUAACAUACCAAAAGACAUCUGUGUUGCUCUCAUCACUUAGGAAAUUCCAAUGGUUUCAGGAGCUUUGUGCCAGAAAUAGAGAGGAAAACCACAUACAUAAUUGUUAUAAAUUGCAAUAUCACACUGGUUUUUCAGCUCACAUCAGGAUCCAAACAAGGUUUUGAAUCCAGUCUUAAAUGAUUUAUUUUUUAUUUUUUAAAUUUUUUUUAACGUUUAUUUAUUUUUGAGACAGAGAGAGACAGAGCAUGAAUGGGGGAGGGUCACAGAGAGAGGGAGACACAGAAUCUGAAACAGGCUCCAGGUUCUGAGCGGUCUGCAGAGAGCCCGACGCGGGGCUCGAACUCACGGACCGCGGGAUCAUGACCUGAGCUGAAGUCGGAUGCUUAACCGACUGAGCCACCCAGGCGCCCGCAGCCUUAAAUGAUUUUAAAGUUUCUAAUGAUAAAGUUAAUUUGUAGAUCAGUACCCACAAAAUAGAAGCCAUCCCAGUUGGCUGGCUCAAGUUACAAAUCUGAACCGAAAUCAGCCACACUUACGGGAAAUGCCUCAUUGUCCAGGAAAUCUAACGCAUACCAGUCACAAGUCUCCAACUUACCCUUAGCUAGCUUACUCUACCCUAGGAAAUAGGACCUCCUGGCCAACUAUUUCCACAUUACUUCUUCUAACUGUGUAAAACUCACUGUCCCCUAAAUACCCUGGGGGGAGUGUUCCACUGCUUGUGAGGCACUGUAUUACCCCAAUCCAUGGACUGUCUUCCCUUGAAUAAACAAUAUCAAACUCA